rnacentral:misc_RNA from 1 species
UCCGGUUUGUCACCGGCAGUCUGGCGUGAGUCCCCAACUUAAUGCUGGCAACACGCCACGGGGGUUGCGCUCGUUGCGGGACUUAACCCAACAUCUCACGGCACGAGCUGACGACAGCCAUGCAGCACCUAGUUUCGUGUCCUUGCGGACUGUCCCAUCUCUGGGACAUUCACUAACUUUCAAGCCCGGGUAAGGUUCCUCGCGUAUCAUCGAAUUAAACCACAUGCUCCUCCGCUUGUGCGGGCCCCCGUCAAUUCCUUUGAGUUUCACCCUUGCGGGCGUACUCCCCAGGUGGAAUACUUAACGCUUUCGCUUAGCCGCUGACUGUAUAUCGCCAACAGCGAGUAUUCAUCGUUUAGGGCGUGGACUAC